UUUCCGUAGGUGAACCUGCGGAAGGAUCAUUAUUGGAUUUUGAAACUUCAGGCUGCUGCUGGCUCUCCUCGGAGGGCAUGUGCACGCUUGUUGUCCAUUAUAUCUCCCACUGUGCACAAAUUGUAGACCUUUCAGUAGGCCUAUGUUGUUUUUCACAAUCUCUGAAUGUAAUAGAAUGGUUUUGAAUCUUGGGAAAUACAAUACAACUUUCAGCAACGGAUCUCUUGGCUCUC
rnacentral:misc_RNA from 1 species